GACGAACGCUGGCGGCGUGCCUAAUACAUGCAAGUCGAACGCUGAAGGAGGAGCUUGCUUCUCUGGAUGAGUUGCGAACGGGUGAGUAACGCGUAGGUAACCUGCCUGGUAGCGGGGGAUAACUAUUGGAAACGAUAGCUAAUACCGCAUAAGAGUAGAUGUUGCAUGACAUUUGCUUAAAAGGUGCAAUUGCAUCACUACCAGAUGGCCCUGCGUUGUAUUAGCUAGUUGGUGGGGUAACGGCUCACCAAGGCGACGAUACAUAGCCGACCUGAGAGGGUGAUCGGCCACACUGGGACUGAGACACGGCCCAGACUCCUACGGGAGGCAGCAGUAGGGAAUCUUCGGCAAUGGACGGAAGUCUGACCGAGCAACGCCGCGUGAGUGAAGAAGGGUUUCGGAUCGUAAAGCUCUGUUGUAAGAGAAGAACGAGUGUGAGAGUGGAAAGUUCACACUGUGACGGUAGCUUAACAGAAAGGGACGGCUAACUACGUG
rnacentral:rRNA from 1 species